CAAAAUUUGGACACUUCUUAAACCCAAUUUGCCGCCCCCUUUCCCUCACUUUCCCAUCUUAUUUUCUUUCCUCCAUAGCCAAUUCCUCCCAAAUUUGAAGAAGAAGAAGACCAAGAAAUUUAAACCUAGCCAAAUUCCUACCUUAAUCAUCACCAAUCAAGCCUUAGGAAGAAGAAGAAAAUCAGCAAUUGAAGAAGUUGAAGGUAGCAGAGAGCAGUCAUCAACAAAGGGGCCACAGUAAUUGCAUCAGCUUCAAAUCACAUCAGACAUUUUAUAAAGUUUCUUUUCUAUCAAACCUGUGAAAAGUUGUAAAUUAUUGGCAUGUAUAUUAGAAAUAGUUGUUGUAAUUAAGUAAACUAUUUUGUACCAAUCUUUUUACUUUUUGUGUAAUUUAUAAUGGUUAUUGCAAACUUUAUCUUUUCAAUGA